UUUAAUUGGUUUGUAACAGGUUUUGAGUUCCGUUUGAGAGUCUUUAUUCAACCACAGCCAUCAACAAAAGUUUUAGUGGGUUUUCAAAACCAUGACAACUGCCGCAGAUUGAACAGUUUUGUCAACGCUCUUGGAUUCCCACUAUACAUGAGACAGACACCUGCAAUAGUCAAAAGAAUUGAUUAUGACACACCACGAUGCCUAGAAAGCUGGCCAGCAAGGAGAGAUUGGCAUCUGAUUUGAUGCAUGCUCCACUAUUCUAUUCGUACCUUAUAGUUAAAAAGUUUGCCAAAUGGCUUUUUAGUAAAAAAGACUAAACUUUGAUUUUCACCUCAAAGAGUUAAUUACUUAAUUUUUCCUUUU
rnacentral:lncRNA from 1 species